CCGCGGUCGAGCUGUCACGAUGCAGCCGCCCGCGCCCUCCCGCCUGCGGCUGCUGCUUCUGCUGCUCCUGUGUCCGGCGCACGUCGGCGGGCUGUGGUGGUUGUGCGCCCAAUCCGGGUCACCGAGGAAUUGGCGGAUGGUCUCAGGAGCAGCAAAGACCCGCCCGGAAUAGUUGUGUUUAGAGAGGAGGGACUUGGACAAUGCCGCUGGUGCG